rnacentral:rRNA from 1 species
GCUCAACCGAGGAAGUGCUUCGAAAACUGGUAAACUUGAGUGCAGAAGAGGAAAGUGGAACUCCAUGUGUAGCGGUGGAAUGCGUAGAUAUAUGGAAGAACACCAGUGGCGAAGGCGGCUUUCUGGUCUGUAACUGACGCUGAGAUUCGAAAGCAUGGGUAGCAAACAGGAUUAGAUACCCUGGUAGUCCAUGCCGUAAACGAUGAGUGCUAAGUGUUGGAGGGUUUCCGCCCUUCAGUGCUGCAGCUAACGCAUUAAGCACUCCGCCUGGGGAGUACGAUCGCAAGAUUGAAACUCAAAGGAAUUGACGGGGGCCCGCACAAGCGGUGGAGCAUGUGGUUUAAUUCGAAGCAACGCGAAGAACCUUACCAGGUCUUGACAUACCAUGAAAAGCUUAGAGAUAAGUCUUUCCCUUCGGGGACAUGGAUACAGGUGGUGCAUGGUUGUCGUCAGCUCGUGUCGUGAGAUGUUGGGUUAAGUCCCGCAACGAGCGCAACCCUUAUUAUCAGUUGCCAGCAUUUAGUUGGGCACUCUGGUGAGACUGCCGGUGACAAACCGGAGGAAGGUGGGGACGACGUCAAAUCAUCAUGCCCCUUAUGACCUGGGCUACACACGUGCUACAAUGGUCGGUACAACG